AAAGGAAUUGACGGGGCUCGCACAAGCGGUGGAGCAUGUGGUUAAUUCGAAGCAACGCGAAGAACCUUACCAGGUCUUGACAUCCCCUGACAACCCGAGAGAUCGGGCGUUCCCCUUCGGGGGACAGGGUGACAGGUGGUGCAUGGUUGUCGUCAGCUCGUGUCGUGAGAUGUUGGGUUAAGUCCCGCAACGAGCGCAACCCUCGCCUCUAGUUGCCAGCAUUCGGUUGGGCACUCUAGAGGGACUGCCGGCGACAAGUCGGAGGAAGUGGGAUGACGUCAAAUCAUCAUGCCCCUUAUGACCUGGGCUACACACGUGCUACAAUGGGCGGUACAAAGGGCUGCGAACCCGCGAGGGGGAGCGAAUCCCAAAAAGCCGCUCUCAGUUCGGAUUGCAGGCUGCAACUCGCCUGCAUGAAGCCGGAAUCGCUAGUAAUCGCGGAUCAGCAUGCCGCGGUGAAUACGUUCCCGGGCCUU
rnacentral:rRNA from 1 species